AUUGAACGCUGGCGGCAGGCUUAACACAUGCAAGUCGAGCGGACGGCGGACGGGUGAGUAGUGUCUGGGAAACUGCCUGAUGGAGGGGGAUGACGACGGGAAACGGUAGCUAAUACCGCAUACCAUCAGAUGUGCCCAGGUGGGAUUAGCUAGUAGGUGGGGUAACGGCUCACCUAGGCGACGAUCCCUAGCUGGUCUGAGAGGAUGACCAGCCACACUGGAACUGAGACACGGUCCAGACUCCUACGGGAGGCAGCAGUGGGGAAUAUUGCACAAUGGGCGCAAGCCUGAUGCAGCCAUGCCGCGUGUGUGAAGAAGGCCUUCGGGUUGUAAAGCACUUUCAGUGAGGAGGCGUUACUCGCAGAAGAAGCACCGGCUAACUCCGUGCCAGCAGCCGCGGUAAUAC
rnacentral:rRNA from 1 species